AAAGUGUCCAAAGCUUUUUGGUCAUGUUUCACAAUAAUAUAUAAUUAAUUAACAUUUUGUUGCUUUGCUGCACGUGCACAAUAAAAACUCACCGCACAUUUUCCUUGCUUGACGUAGAAACAGGUGAACAGUUUUGGAUCACUGUACCAGGUCUGUGUUACACGUGGGUUGCCUUUGACAAUAAGGCACCGGACUACAGUCGUAUAGUUUUCAACCUAGAAGAAGACCAAGAGACGAGAGAAGGCAAGAAGGAGUCUACCGGGAUGGGCGAGAGGAAUGUCCAGUUGUCCAUAAAAGCAUGGUUUGUCAUCUGAUUUCUUUGAGCCUGGUGGAGAUGGAUGCAACCAUACUACAAGGCUGGACAUUUCGCUGCAUCCAAGUUGAGGCUUGCUACCAGCAGGAACAUGGAGAACUCUGUCAGAGCUGCAGAGACAGAACAGUCCAAGGACCUCCAGAGCCUUCUGACCAAUUACCUGUGUUCUCUUCGGACUACAGAGAAGUAAGCUCCACUCAUAGUGUGCCUAAUGCAUCAUGUAAACCUCCUUCACUGGCAGUCCGCCUGUGUG